rnacentral:lncRNA from 1 species
GGCGUGCACCUCUCACGGUGUGCCUAGCCGCCGAUGCCCAGGCUGCACGAUCACGUCUGGAGCUACCCAAGCGCGGGCGCUGCGAGGCCGUACAGCCUCCCGCGAGGCAUGAUUGCGGCGGCCCUCUGUCCGCAGGGCCCCGGAGCCCCCGAGCCCGAGCCCGCGCCCCGGGGCCAGCGAGAGGGAACCGCAGGCUUCAGCGCACGACCCGGCAGCUGGCACCACGACCUGGUGCAGCGGAGCCUCGUGCUCUUCUCAUUUGGCGUGGUCCUGGCUCUGGUGCUCAACCUGCUGCAGAUCCAGCGGAAUGUCACGCUCUUCCCGGACGAGGUGAUAGCCACCAUCUUCUCCUCCGCCUGGUGGGUGCCCCCGUGCUGUGGCACGGCAGCCGCUGUUGUCGGCUUAUUGUAUCCCUGUAUUGACAGUCACCUGGGAGAACCACACAAGUUCAAGAGAGAGUGGGCCAGUGUCAUGCGAUGUAUCGCGGUGUUUGUUGGCAUCAACCAUGCCAGUGCCGUAUCCUCAGUUGGUAUCUGUGUUCAGAGGAUCAUCUGGGUUGUAGCAGGGCCUAUUGCUGCU